UACACGUUCAUAUCCCUUAUGGUAGCUCAUGUUAGAUAAGAAUAGCAAAAGUUAAAUACUAGUUAUCUAAAAAUAAAAAGUGACGUUGCCAAUUCUUGUUCCUGAAUGUAAUUUCUUUAUCCGGUCCUCAACUUGAACUCGAGAUUUACCAUUUCGAGAACGCAGCGUUUCCUGCGAGCAUAUGAUUGGUCGGGAGGACUUUACCUGUCAUCACACUCCCUCAUCUCAUUGGUCGAGUAGGCGAUACAUUUCCGGGUGCCGCUAAGAGUGACUCACUUGUGGUCGUGCUGGGAGAAUAUGGCGGCAUAUAGCAGUCAAGAAUUCAACAUUGCGUGGAGUUGUGGUUAUUGGAGGGUAAAUAGUAAUAUGCUCUAAAACGCCCUGUUUCCAAUCGUCCACAUGGCUGGGAGAUUCUAUUCAAGUAAAUACCUUGCAACUGGAGAUUCCUUCAAAACGAUUGCCUACAGUUACUGUUUAGGGCACUCACUGCAAGGUUGGGUGACCAGGGUCAUCUGGGACUGCCUCCUGGAGGAAUUCAGGUUGUGUGAAGGCUACCUGUGUCCUGCAUAACUUCAUGAGGAUGGACACGAGGACCAGGAGGGGAUUUGCAGCUUGCCGCCGUGUCCCAGAGGAGGUCUGCUGCUCUGCAGGAGGGGAUCUGCAGCUCGCCGCCGUGUCCCAGAGGAGGUCUGCUGCUCUGCAGGAUGUUUCAAAGAUGGGGUCCAACAACGCAGCAAGAGAGGCAAUCUGUGUGCGUGAGAUCUUCACCAUCUACCUCUGCUGUACCCUGGCAACACCAUAGACUACACUAUGCACAACCAAAGGCUCUUUUAAGAGCCAUCCACAUUGCAAUAAGAGUAUUCUUCCAUUUACUUAGCUAUGUGUAACAGUUUGGCUUCCGUCCCUCUCCUCGCCCCGACCUGGGCUCGAACCAGGGACCCUCUGCACACAUCGACAACGGUCACCUUCAAAGCACCAUUACCCAUCGCUCCACAAAAGCCGAGGCCCUUGCAGAGAAAACGACUACCUCAAGGUCUGAGUGAUGUCACAGAUUUGAAAAGCUACCAACAAGCACCGCUAACUAGCCAUUUCACACCAGUUACAUAUGUCAACUGCAGUUAUUAAAAUCACUAUUUUCUCCCUUUGAUUUCUACUUCUCAGGUGAGGGUGUGAUGUCUGUAUAAAAACAAGUCUAUUUUAAGUCACCCAUAUUGAAGAAAAAAAAUGGAACUAUUAGAUACCCUAUAACCCACACUCAUGUAUCAAUCUGAUUGAUGGAUUGUGAUAUGCAGGCUCAGGUAUAUAACUGGCUCCUUUCCGACCUUCAAAUAGUCACAAAAAGAGGGCCAACCAUGGAGAACAGCAAGACACUCAAUUAUUUCUAUAACUAAGCUAUAUUGUUUGUCCUCUUGUGUCUGCAUGUUUUUCAGCAUAAAGUACUCUGCAGCCACUUAGUGUGGACACCAGGUGAGGCCACACACACAGAUUCCCGUUGAACACUGUGUCUUUUAACUACCUUAUUUCCUCAAUAACAAUGAGUAUGUCCUUCACUUCAUCCCUCAAUCCUCUAGGCCAGGGCUGUCCAACCCUCUUCCUGGAGAUCUACUGUCCUGUAGGUUUUCAGUCCAACCCUCUUCCUGGAGAUCUACUGUCCUGUAGGUUUUCAGUCCAACCCUCUUCCUGGAGAUCUACUGUCCUGUAGGUUUACAGUCCAACCCUCUUCCUGGAGAUCUACUGUCCUGUAGGUUUUCAGUCCAACCCUCUUCCUGGAGAUCUACUGUCCUGUAGGUUUUCAGUCCAACCCUCUUCCUGGAGAUCUACUGUUCUGUAGGUUUUCAGUCCAACCCUCUUCCUGGAGAUCUACUGUCCUGUAGGUUUACAGUCCAACCCUCUUCCUGGAGAUCUACUGUCCUGUAGGUUUUCAGUCCAACCCUCUUCCUGGAGAUCUACUGUCCUGUAGGUUUUUAGACCAACCCUCUUCCUGGAGAUCUACUGUCCUGUAGGUUUUUAGACCAACCCUCUUCCUGGAGAUCUACUGUGCUGUAGGUUUUCAGUCCAACCCUCUUCCUGGAGAUCUACUGUCCUGUAGGUUUUUAAUCCAACCCUAAUUUAGCACAUCUGAUUCAGCUAGUUAAGGUCUUGUUGAGCAGCUACUUAGUAGAAUCGGGUGUGUUAAAUUAGGGUUGGACUGAACCCACGGGAGGGUCGAUCUCCAGGAAGAGGGUUGGGCAGCCCUGAUCUAGGUUAUAUCAGCUGUGUCGGUGAACCCCGCCCGCAUCUGAACUGGCUUCAUAGAGGGCACAGCAUGAUCAGAGGUGAGAGGUCACUUGGUCAGGUCAACAGGAAGUAUUAUUAAAGAGAUGCUUUACAUUGAAAUACAGAUAGAGAUGUAGUAGUCCCAGAGUUAAUGAUCCCAGGUCAGUUUAUAUUAUACAGGAAGUAUUAUUAAAGAUGCUUUACAUUGAAAUACAGAUAGAGAUGUAGUAGUCCCAGAGUUAAUGAUCCAAGUUCAGUUUUUUUGCAUUUCACCUGAACGAUUAUGAAAAACACAAGGCUUAAACAUGCUAUCUCUCUCCAUCGGUUCUCUUGUCUGCAGGUAUGUUUUGAUGUGAGAGAGGAUGCCACCUCACCCGCUCUUAAGAUAACCUUUGGGCCGACUGGGAGCCCAAGGCUGGUUAGGAGACACCAUGAUGUAAAAGUGAUGAACUGAGAGAAUUAGGGUAGCAGAAUAUUAGGGUAGCACUGUGAUUCAUUAAUCACAUGCUGUCUUCCCUGCUCCUCUGUUCUUACCUCGUUCCCUUUGUCUUUUACACCUCUGUCCACCUCUUUCUUCCUGUUUUAUAAUGCACACAAGAUAGAUGUGCAUUGAAGUACAAGAUAGAUGUGCAUUGAAGUACAAGAUAGAUGUGCAUUGAAGUACAAGAUAGAUGUGCAUUGAAGUACAAGAUAGAUGUGCAUUGAAGUACAAGAUAGAUGUGCAUUGAAGUACAAGAUAGAUGUGCAUUGAAGUACAAGAUAGAUGUGCAUUGAAGUACAAGAUAGAUGUGCAUUGAAGUACAAGAUAGAUGUGCAUUGAAGUACAAGAUAGAUGUGCAUUGAAGUACAAGAUAGAUGUGCAUUGAAGUACAAGAUAGAUGUGCAUUGAAGUACAAGAUAGAUGUGCAUUGAAGUACAAGAUAGAUGUGCAUUGAAGUACAAGAUAGAUGUGCAUUGAAGUACAAGAUAGAUGUGCAUUGAAGUACAAGAUAGAUGUGCAUUGAAGUACAAGAUAGAUGUGCAUUGAAGUACAGAUUGAACUUGUAUUUAUAAUGCAUGUAUUAUGUAUUUUUUAACAUUUUGUAUAAUGAACUUUCAAAGAGUUUCACUUUCUCUA